GGGCCAUUAGCUCAACCCGGCAGAGCAGCUGACUCUUAAUCAGGAGGUUGAAGGUUCGAAUCCUUCAUGGCCCACCA
rnacentral:tRNA from 8 species